rnacentral:lncRNA from 1 species
UCUUCCUUUUAUUUUUGUGAUCUUUUGCUAUAUAAACAACUCCUCCUCAAAGAAUGAUGAGACAACUUACAAUUUACACACUCUGGAUAAUAAGCUCACGUGAGUCCCUCUAUUCUUAGCCAAGAAUUUAUUUUUAUGCAGAUUUAACUUAUAUACAUUGACAACUUAAAUUUUUUUUUUACAACAAGUGUGUUUUAAUCUGUUGUAGCGGUAACAUGUAAAUUCUUUAUAUAAGCAUCUCAUUUUCCUAUUCCUUUCUUCCCAUAUUAUAGUAUACUAUUCAACAACAACAAUAACAUACCCAGUGUAAUCCCAUAUAGUGGGGUUUGGGGAAAAUAAAGUGUACGCAGAUCAUACCACUACCUCAGGUAAAGUAGAGAGGUUGUAUUAUAGUAUACUAUUCACUAUGGAAAACUCCCAACAACCUCUAGCCACAGAGAAUUUUUCAUAUAGUUGGUUGUUGAAUAGAAAACCAUCCAUUGAUGGCCUAACAGAAUCCCCUAGACCCUCUUAUAGUAGUCAUGAUGAUGCUAAGGAAGAGUUAAAAUUUAUCGCUUAUUUGAAAAGAUUCCUAAAAGAAGAACAAAACUUCAACUUUGAUGUUCAUCCUGUUUCAGACUAUGUUUGUGCUGAUGAAAUCUUCUCUGAUGGAUAUUUCAUGCCUCGAUAUCUUGAUAGAUCAAAGAUUGAAUCUUUUGUGAAGCCUUCAAUAAUUUCAACACAAAUUCAUCAGUACCCUCAACUAGUACUCCUCCCACACCAAUAUCUAAACUUUCAAAUUCCACAACUACUUAAGCUGAUUUUCUUGAAAAAUGGAGAAAGUUUUCGCGCAAAAUCUUGGUUAAGUGGUUUGGAUUCGUAAGGACAAUCUCCAAAAGUAUAACAAGUUCAAGAAAAAGUACUGAAAAAGUUGAUGACCUUCAAAGAAAAGUAAGUGAAAUUCAAAGCUGCAAGAGUACUACUGAUACUUCAUUUCAGGGAUCUCCUCGUUGAAUGUUGAAAUCUUAUUCUGUUGUCAAUUGGUGUGGAAAUGAUAACAACCAAAGAAGAAGUAGUAGUACUAGAAGAGUUAAAAGUUUGAGGAAGGUGAAAAAAUGGAGUAAUAUUAACUCACCACAUGAGGCUUGUUCCCCUAUAAAAAGUCCAUCCAAUGAUCAUUCUACUUAUGUUUGGCGUGAGAAGGCGAUUUCUAAUGUAAUUUUGUACUGUAAGAGAUCGUAUGUCAACUGAGCCUGAUAUCGAUCAUCGUGAUCGUUUUGACCAGAAGAAGCAAUUCUAGAUGUUAAAUUUCAUCCUUAAAUUUUUUUCUCAGAUUUAUAUUUAGAUUUUUGUCUCUAUCAUGUAUCACUCAGAUUCAAUAUUUU